ensembl:lncRNA
AUGGCCGUCUGUCGGGGGUGCUUUGAAGGCGGUUCUCCUGCUUCUUGGCAGGAUGGGGAUGGGCUGGAUGGCCCACCAGGUCUCUCCCAACCCUGGGAUUCUAUAAUUCUAGGGGGCAAAGAAGGGGGCGAAUCUCUUCGAGGGCAUUUUUUGACGUCGGAAGGAGCUGUCCAGGGUCCCGAGUCUCUUUAUCUCUCUCCCUCUCUUCUGUUGACCUGGGGAGGGGCUUGGGAGCAGGGGAGGGGGCUGCAGGGGAGAGAAGGAGGUCAUUUCCCCUUCCUCUGCCCAGGCUCCGCCCCCUCCCCUCCCUCCCCUCCCCUCCCUUCUCUUCUCUUCCCUGCUGCCCCUCCCUCUUUUAGAGCCCGAGGGCGAGCCAGGCACGAGGGGACGCCCGACUCAGCGGCGGAGAAGGAGGAGAAGGAGAGGAAGAAGAGGAGGAAGAAGAGGAAGAGGAGGCGAGGGAGAAACAGCAGAAGCCCCCGCCCAGCCCAUCCCAGUCCAUCCCAGUCCAUCUCCGCCUUCACGCCUCGUUGGGAAGGAAGUGAACAUGGAAAGGACCCUCGUCUUCCUUUGGUCCCUGCUGGUCCCAGUGAUGCUGGCGGAUGGUACGUAGCCCCUUCCCCAUCGGUUCUGAGCCAGAAUGAGGGAGGAGGGGUGCAGGCCCAGUCCUUCUGGGGGAGGGGAUUAUUCUGGUGACCCUUUUGUAGCCAUUCCAUCCUGGGGUGGUCCUUCUGAGAGUGACCUGGGCCUGCCUCCCAUCCAUCACUUUCCCACCUUGGCAGUCAAAGGAGGGGCCGCAUAAGGAGACCCCCCCAGGAUUGUCAAAAUGUGCAUUUAGCCCCCUGUCGCACCUCAGGUUAGCUUCACCUUGCUAAAUACACCAGGCUGUACACAGGUUGAAGUCUUUCGUAGUUUAUUAGGAAAUAGCAAAAGUAAAGUUCCAAAAGAUUGUUGCCAAACCAAGGCUAUAAAGAAUAAUCCAAGAAGACAUUAGGCAUAAAACAAAGUUCCAUUAAUGCAUGACAAAGUCCCAUGAAAUUAAAUACACAAAGCUGCAAGAUAAUCCGGGAAAGCAAGAGCUUGCUGACUCAAACGAGACGUUGCUUUCGACAGAGGUUUCUCUCUCAGCACACCCUUUUAAUAUUCUCUGCAUGGCAUGAAGGCAUUUCUUUGGCCUUUGACCAUUCUCUUGUUUGCUAUUCUAACACUCCGGGGAAACCCGAAUUCCAAACGGCCAGCUCGAUCUAGAGAUUCAUCAAGGCCAGACAGCUCGUUAGCAGCAGCCUCUGUCUGCAUGCUAUCUAACUGAGAGCUGUCCUCCCUUUGCACCUGGCUAGCUUCAGUAUCAUCCCCAGUAUUAUCAACACCAUUCCCUGCCAUGGGAAAGCCUCCCUGCUCCUCAUCUCUCACAGCAGGGACACUCUGAACCUGAAUCCCAUAAUUCCCAUCAGAGUCAUCUUGAAUCUGAGUCCCAUCACCUUGACCAUCUGGAACCUGAAUCCCACAAUCCCCAUUAGAGUUAUCUUGAACCUGAAUACCAUCAUCUUGAACAUCGGGAACCUGAAUCCCACAAUCCCCAUCAGAGCUAUCUUGAACCUGAAUACCAUCAUCUUGAACAUCUGGAACCUGAAUCCCACAAUCCCCAUCAGAGUUAUCUUGAACCUGAAUACCAUCAUCUUGAACAUCUGGAACCUGAAUCCCACAAUCCCCAUCAGAGCUAUCUUGAACCUGAAUACCAUCAUCUUGAACAUCUGGAACCUGAAUCCCACAAUCCCCAUCAGAGCUAUCUUGAACCUGAAUACCAUCAUAUUGAACAUCUGGAACCUGAAUCCCACAAUCCCCAUCAGAGCUAUCUUGAACCUGAAUACCAUCAUCUUGAACAUCUGGAACCUGAAUCCCACAAUCCCCAUCAGAGCUAUCUUGAACCUGAAUACCAUCAUCUUGAACAUCUGGAACCUGAAUCCCACAAUCCCCAUCAGAGUCAUCUUGAACCUGAAUCCCAUCACAACACCCCCUCCCAUUGCCCCAACCAGUCCCAUUCCAGAGUGACCUUAUCCUGCUUUGCUCUUUCCAGUUGCCGACCAAGAAAAGGAGAAGGACCCCUUCAACUAUGGUGAGCCACACUGUCCUCCAGAGGGAAGGGUGUGGGGUGCUGGGCUUGCAGGGCUCUCUGCCACCUUCAUCCCUCACCCUUCUCUCUCUCAGACUACCAGGAC